UACGAAGGGGGAGCUAGCGUUGUUCGGAAUCACUGGGCGUAAAGCGCACGUAGGCGGAUUGUUAAGUCGGGGGUGAAAUCCUGAGGCUCAACCUCAGAACUGCCUUCGAUACUGGCGAUCUUGAGUUCGGAAGAGGUUGGUGGAACAGCUAGUGUAGAGGUGAAAUUCGUAGAUAUUAGCUAGAACACCAGUGGCGAAGGCGGCCAACUGGUCCGACACUGACGCUGAGGUGCGAAAGCGUGGGGAGCAAACAGG
rnacentral:rRNA from 1 species